rnacentral:rRNA from 1 species
AUCUGGCCUUGGUCCGAAUUGUAAUUUGUAGAGGACGCUUUUGGUGCGGUACCUUCCGAGUUCCCUGGAACGGGACGCCUUAGAGGGUGAGAGCCCCGUACGGUUGGAUACCUAGCCUCUGUAUAGCUCCUUCGACGAGUCGAGUAGUUUGGGAAUGCUGCUCUAAAUGGGAGGUAAAUUUCUUCUAAAGCUAAAUACCGGCCAGAGACCGAUAGCGCACAAGUAGAGUGAUCGAAAGAUGAAAAGUACUUUGAAAAGAGGGUUAAAUAGCACGUGAAAUUGUUGAAAGGGAAGCGCUUAUGACCAGACCUUUGCCUGGCGGAUCAUCCGGUGUUUUCACCGGUGCACUUUGCCAGGUUGAGGCCAGCGUCGAUUUUCGGAGGGGGAUAAAGGCUUCGGGAAUGUGACUCCUUCGGGAGUGUUAUAGCCCGUUGUGUAAUACCCUUCCGGGGAUCGAGGUUCGCGCUCUGCAAGGACGCUGGCAUAAUGGUCAUCAGUGACCCGUCUUGAAACACGGACCAAGGAGUCGAACAUUUGUGCGAGUGUUUGGGUGUUAAACCCUCACGCGUAAUGAAAGUGAACGGAGGUGAGAGCCCUGGUGCAUCAUCGACCGAUCCUGAUGUCUUCGGAUGGAUUUGAGUAAGAGCAUAACUGUUCGGACCCGAAAGAUGGUGAACUAUGCGUGGAUAGGGUGAAGCCAGAGGAAACUCUGGUGGAGGCUCGCAGCGGUUCUGACGUGCAAAUCGAUCG